UUAGAGUUUGAUCAUGGCUCAGGAUGAACGCUAGCGGGAGGCUUAACACAUGCAAGUCGAGGGGCAGCAUAGGGUAGCAAUACUCUGAUGGCGACCGGCGCACGGGUGAGUAACGCGUAUGCAACCUACCCUGUACUGGGGGAUAACCCGGAGAAAUUCGGACUAAUACCCCAUAAUGAUAUCGGGAGGCAUCUUCUGAUAUUUAAAGUUCCGACGGUACGGGAUGGGCAUGCGUAACAUUAGCUAGUUGGCAGGGUAACGGCCUACCAAGGCUGCGAUGUUUAGGGGUCCUGAGAGGGUGAUCCCCCACACUGGUACUGAGACACGGACCAGACUCCUACGGGAGGCAGCAGUGAGGAAUAUUGGUCAAUGGGCGCAAGCCUGAACCAGCCAUCCCGCGUGAAGGAAGAAGGCGCUAUGCGUUGUAAACUUCUUUUCCAGGGGAAUAAAAUUCUGUACGUGUACGGAAUUGAAGGUACCCUGGGAAUAAGCAUCGGCUAACUCCGUGCCAGCAGCCGCGGUAAUACGGAGGAUGCAAGCGUUAUCCGGAUUUAUUGGGUUUAAAGGGUGCGCAGGCGGAGUAGUAAGUCAGUGGUGAAAACCUGCAGCUUAACUGUAGAAUUGCCGUUGAUACUGCUGCUCUUGAGUAUGGUCAAGGUAGGCGGAAUGUGUAAUGUAGCGGUGAAAUGCUUAGAUAUUACACAGAACAUCGAUUGCGAAGGCAGCUUGCUGGGCCAUUACUGACGCUCAUGCACGAAAGCGUGGGGAUCGAACAGGAUUAGAUACUCUGGUAGUCCACGCCGUAAACGAUGAUCACUCGCUGUUGGCGAUACACUGUCAGCGGCUAAGCAAAAGCAUUAAGUGAUCCACCUGGGGAGUACGACCGCAAGGUUGAAACUCAAAGGAAUUG
rnacentral:rRNA from 1 species